rnacentral:rRNA from 1 species
AGUGGCGGACGGGUGAGUAACACGUAAGAAUUUGCCUUUAGGAGGGGGACAACAACUGGAAACGGUUGCUAAUACCCCAUAUGCUUUCGAGUGAAACGGAUUUUUCCGCCUAAAGAGAAGCUUGCGGCUGAUUAGCUUGUUGGUGAGGUAAUGGCUCACCAAGGCGACGAUCAGUAUCUGGUUUGAGAGGACGAUCAGACACACUGGAACUGAGACACGGUCCAGACUCCUACGGGAGGCAGCAGUGGGGAAUUUUCCGCAAUGGGCGAAAGCCUGACGGAGCAAUACCGCGUGAGGGAUGACGGCCUAUGGGUUGUAAACCUCUUUUUUCAGGGAGGAAUCAAACGACGCGUACCUGAAGAAUAAGCAUCGGCUAACUCCGUGCCAGCAGCCGCGGUAAGACGGGGGAUGCAAGUGUUAUCCGGAAUCACUGGGCGUAAAGCGUCUGUAGGUGGUCAAAUAAGUCAACUGUUAAAUCUUGAGGCUCAACCUCAAAAUCGCAGUCGAAACUAUUAGACUAGAGUAUAGUAGGGGUAAAGGGAAUUUCCAGUGGAGCGGUGAAAUGCGUAGAGAUUGGAAAGAACACCGAUGGCGAAGGCACUUUACUGGGCUAUUACUAACACUCAGAGACGAGAGCUAGGGUAGCAAAUGGGAUUAGAUACCCCAGUAGUCCUAGCCGUAAACAAUGGAUACUAGAUGU